rnacentral:ncRNA from 1 species
CAACCUGAGCUCAGUCGUGAUUACCCGCCGAACUUAAGCAUAUCAUUCAGCGGAGGAAAAGAAACUAACUAGGAUUCCCCAAGUAAUGGCGAAUGAAAGGGGAAGAGCCCAGCGCUGAAUCUCUCGGUCUUAGGCCGCUGAGAACUGUAGCGUAUAGGUGUGACUGUCCUGCUAUAUUGCAUUUCCGAAGUCUCUUUGAUAGGGGCCAACAUCCAGAGAGGGUGCGAGACCUGUACGGAAAGUAGUAUAGUUGGUAUGGUUACUCCUUGGAGUCGGGUUGCUUGAAAGUGCAGCCUAAAGUUGGUGAUAAACUUCAUCUAAGGCUAAAUAUCGACGCGAAAUCGAUAGCAAACAAGUACCGUGAGGGAAAGUUGCAAAGAACUUUGAAGAGAGAGUUCAAGAGAACGUGAAAUCGCUGAAGUGGAACCGGAGAGAGUUAACAUAACUUGGUAGCUAUAUCCUCUAAAGUCGCUUAACUGUGGCUCUGGGGGGUGGACGCUACCUGUUAGUUGCACUGACUGCGUUGAUUGUGCUUUCCGAACAGUAUAGUGUUGCCCACUUUGUGGUGUCUUGCUUUCUGGGAGGUUUGUCAUAAUUAACGUAAAGCCAAUUCCCUUUGGAGUCAGUGUGAAAGUUAACCACCUUUCCGACCCGUCUUGAAACACGGACCGAGGAGUGUAAUUUAUACGCGAGUCAAAGGGGUGGUGAAAAACCCUAGGGGCGGAAUGAAAGUAAAGGCGGUUAACGGUGACAUGGGAUCCGCUCUUCGGAGC